AAAAUUGGGGGGGGGAUUUUUUUUCCCUUUUUUUCCUUUUUUUUUCUUUAAAAUUUUCCAUUUUAAAUUGGUUUUUUCUGAUUUAUAUAUAAAAGCAAAUAAUAAUGAUAUGGUUUGAAUAGGUAAAUUAAAAAUUUUAAGUUCUUAGACCACAUUCAUUCUGUGUCAGAAACCUAUGCUGUGUCAAAUAUUUAAUCACAAUCCAAAUUCAGUGCUGUAUCAAGCUUGAAUGUUGUGUCCAUACUUGCCCCAACUGUUCAGGGUUCGACCUCUGCGGUCGUAUCAAACUGCGCCCAGCGGAGCAUUUUAUUCAUUUUAUCAGAUAUUAUAAGCAUAUGUCUACUUGUUGGUGUAUGGAAUGACUACAAGGUGUCAUAUAAAAAUAAGAAGAUGUCUGUCUGACAAGUUUAAUAUUACUGUGACCUCAUUUUCAUAGAAUAUUGAUAAUAUCAAGCAAAAAUGAUGAGCAAGACAAGAUACAAAUGAUCCAAAAUUGUCAGUUGCCUACUCAUUAUGUAAUAGUAGUUAUUGUCAUUAAAUGAUAAUGCUUACCCUUUUAUGUGUAGGGCAAGAACAUUAAAGAUAAAAGGAAACUAUAAACAAAAGAAAUUAUCAACAAAAAUAGAUUUACAGACGUCAACAAAGCCUAAAUGGUCAGACAUCUUGGUUUUCAUGAUCAUCAUUCAACAGGUCAAUACUGAACAGCAAACUUAAAGUUGAUAUUUUUCUACAUAGUGUGACUUUUUUAUUAAUUUGAAAUGGAAUGUGUUUUUUUUCCUACAUAAGAAAGAGGAAAUUUCAACAUAAUUACUAUAAACAAAAAGGAGUCAUAUCAUCAUGAUCAUAGAUGCUCAAGAACUUAAUCAUGUAAAUGCAACAACGUAAUUAUCAAUUGAAAGAAGGGAGGAAUGAAAAAAUAUAUUAGUAUUUUGUUGUCCAAAUGAACUUGCUUUGUCCACUCAUUUAAAUCGCUCCAUCCAAUAAAGAUGUACGGAAGAAGAUUUUUGAAGAACAGAUUGCAUAAAUGUUUUGUCUUAGAAUUGUAGGAAUAUUCUAGUGGAUGAAAUAAUUUAUUUACUUGACUCUUAUAUAGUGGACUGAAUAAUUGUUCAUAGCAAACUGAAACAAGAAAACUAAAACUUAACAGGAAAAGUGUUUAUUUUAUAAAUUUACAAAUAUAAAUGUAAUAUUAUGAACACCACAAAGGAAUAAGAUUCAAAUCAUUUGCAUAUUCAUGUAUUGCAAUGGAACUAUAACAAAGAAAACUUUACCUCAUGAAAAGAGUAAACUAUUAACUGUGCUUUGUCAAUUUAUUCAGUCAGAAUAUGAAAUAUUUUUUUCAGUUCUAUUUUUCAUAAUAAAACAAAGAAGACAAAGAU